rnacentral:lncRNA from 1 species
CCCAUGCCCUGAUUAUGCAAAGAUGUACCUACCGGGAACAAGAAACUGUAAGAUAAGGUCCCCCAGAGUGACACUGGUACAGAACCUAACACAAGGGAACAAGGCUCUUUUGUCUUUGAUUUUCCAAUCAAACCAGAACGUUUGCGUUCCAAACAAGAAUGCCUCUUCUCCUCCAAAGGAUCACAACUCCUCGCCAGCAAGGGAGAAAAACUGGACAGAGAAUGAAUUUAACGAGCUGACAGAAGUAGGCUUCAGAAGGUGGGUAAUAACAAACUACUUCGAGCUAAAGGAGCAUGUUCUAACCCAGUGCAAGGAAGCUAAGAACCUUGACAAAAGGUUAGAGAAAUUGCUAACUAGAAUAACCAGUUUAGAGAAGAACAUAAAUGACCUGAUGGAGCUGAAAAACACAGCACGAGAGAGAGCUGGUGAGGCAUACCCAAGUAUCAAUAGCCAAAUCGAUCAAGCAGAAGAAAGGAUAUCAAAGAUUGAAGAUCAACAUAAUGGAAUAAAGCAU